rnacentral:rRNA from 1 species
GACGAACGCUGGCGGCGUGCUUAACACAUGCAAGUCGAACGAUGAAGCCGGAGCUUGCUCCGGUGGAUUAGUGGCGAACGGGUGAGUAACACGUGAGCAAUCUGCCCUUGACUCUGGGAUAACUGCGGGAAACUGUAGCUAAUACCGGAUACGACACCUUGGGGCAUCCCAGGGUGUGGAAAGAAUUUCGGUCAAGGAUGAGCUCGCGGCCUAUCAGCUAGUUGGUGAGGUAAUGGCUCACCAAGGCGACGACGGGUAGCCGGCCUGAGAGGGGAAACGGCCACACUGGAACUGAGACACGGUCCAGACUCCUACGGGAGGCAGCAGUGGGGAAUAUUGCACAAUGGGCGAAAGCCUGAUGCAGCAACGCCGCGUGAGGUAUGAAGGCCUUCGGGUUGUAAACCUCUUUUAGCAGGGAAGAAGCGAAAGUGACGGUACCUGCAGAAAAAGCACCGGCUAACUACGUGCCAGCCGCCGCGGUAA